UCAAAUGCCUGAGGGGAGUCAAAGAUAAAGUGCCCCAGGGCCACUAUUCCCUCAGAGUUUCUGUUCUCAGCCGCUUAGGUGGUGGCUUACUGCAGUGGCCCAGACUGAAGGAACAGCCCUGGGCCAGAACAACGCUGCCUGUUAGGCACGAUGGAAACUUCUACAACACUGAAAUCUACUUUGGACAGAGUAUCCAAACAGUUCUGCCACCCAGAAAGGCUAUGAAUCCAGGCAUGGUACUACUCUUUGAACUCUUCCUUCUUCGUGGAACCUGGGCUUGCAUUGAUCGAGAAGUAGGAUGGGGGGCUUUCCCCUUAUGUGACAACAAUUUUAACGCUUUAGAGGGAAAGUUUAAAUGCCCCUUCCUCAGAGGCCGUUAUAAUUCCAAAGUUGACCAAUUCAAAAAAAUUGAAAAGUUUUUUUCCCUGGACUUGGACCACUGGUUAUGCAAUCUCUAUUUUCAGAUAAUUAAACUACCACAGGAUUCAGAUAAGCAAAAUGAGUGUGAUAUGCAUCUUCGUCUCCAACCUGAACUUCUCACAUCUACAAGCAUUGCAGAAAAGAAUGGUGUUUUGGAGAAGGUUAAAUUGUCUAGACCACGAGGUGAUGGAUUCAAACUUUCAUGUUUA